UGGGGAAUUUUGCACAAUGGGGGAAACCCUGAUGCAGCGACGCCGCGUGAUUUAGAAGGCCUUCGGGUUGUAAAAAUCUUUUGUAUAGGAAGAAAAUGACAGUACUAUACGAAUAAGGUCCGGCUAAAUACGUGCCAGCAGCCGCGGUAAUACGUAUGGACCGAGCGUUGUCCGGAAUCAUUGGGCGUAAAGGGUACGUAGGCGGCCCAGUAAGUUAGAAGUGAAAUAAUAUAGCUCAACUAUAUAAAGCUUUUAAAACUGCUAGGCUUGAGAGAUGGAAGGGAAAGUGGAAUUCCUAGUGUAGCGGUGAAAUGCGCAGAUAUUAGGAAGAAUACCGGUGGCGAAGGCGACUUUCUGGUCAUCAUCUGACGCUGAGGUACGAAAGCGUGGGUAGCAAACAGG
rnacentral:rRNA from 1 species